rnacentral:rRNA from 1 species
UGGGGAAUAUUGCGCAAUGGGCGAAAGCCUGACGCAGCGACGCUGCGUGAGGGAUGAAGGUCUUCGGAUCGUAAACCUCUGUCAGCAGGGAAGAAAUUUUAGUGUGCUAAUCAGCAUUAAAUUGACGGUACCUGCAAAGGAAGCACCGGCUAACUCCGUGCCAGCAGCCGCGGUAAUACGGAGGGUGCGAGCGUUAAUCGGAAUUACUGGGCGUAAAGCGCUCGUAGGUGGUAUGUCAAGUCAAGGGUGAAAUCCCCGCGCUCAACGUGGGAACUGCCUUUGAAACUGGCAGACUGGAGUGUGUGAGAGGAUAGUGGAAUUCCAGGUGUAGGAGUGAAAUCCGUAGAUAUCUGGAGGAACAUCAGUGGCGAAGGCGACUAUCUGGCACAUAACUGACACUGAGGAGCGAAAGCGUGGGUAGCAAACAGGAUUAGAUACC